AUUCCAGCUCCAAUAGCGUAUAUUAAUGUUGUUGCAGUUAAAAAGCUCGUAGUUGGAUUCCUGGCCUGGGGUAGCCGGUCCGCCUUGCAAAAGGUGCGCACUGAGCGGCCUCGGCCAUCCUUGGGAAGAGCAGUCCUGGCAUUCAGUUGUCGGGGUUGGGAUUCCCGACGUUUACUGUGAUAAAAUCAGAGUGUUCAACGCAGGCUUACGCCUUGAAUACAUUAGCAUGGAAUAAUGAGAUAGGACCUUGGCGGUCUAUUUUGUUGGUUUGCACGCCGAGGUAAUGAUUAAAAGGGACGGUUGGGGUUCUUCGUAUUCAAUUGUCAGAGGUGAAAUUCUUGGAUUUAUGGAAGACGAACUGCUGCGAAAGCGUCGAACAAGGACGUUCUCAUUA
rnacentral:rRNA from 1 species